CGGGGGCAACCCUGGUGGCGAGUGGCGAACGGGUGAGUAAUACAUCGGAACGUGCCCAGUCGUGGGGGAUAACGUAGCGAAAGCUACGCUAAUACCGCAUACGAUCUACGGAUGAAAGCGGGGGAUCGCAAGACCUCGCGCGAUUGGAGCGGCCGAUGGCAGAUUAGGUAGUUGGUGGGGUAAAGGCUCACCAAGCCGACGAUCUGUAGCUGGUCUGAGAGGACGACCAGCCACACUGGGACUGAGACACGGCCCAGACUCCUACGGGAGGCAGCAGUGGGGAAUUUUGGACAAUGGGCGCAAGCCUGAUCCAGCCAUUCCGCGUGCAGGAUGAAGGCCCUCGGGUUGUAAACUGCUUUUGUACGGAACGAAACGCGCUGAGCUAAUACCUUGGCGUAAUGACGGUACCGUAAGAAUAAGCACCGGCUAACUACGUGCCAGCAGCCGCGGUAAUACGUAGGGUGCGAGCGUUAAUCGGAAUUACUGGGCGUAAAGCGUGCGCAGGCGGUUAUGUAAGACAGGUGUGAAAUCCCCGGGCUUAACCUGGGAACUGCAUUUGUGACUGCAUAGCUAGAGUACGGUAGAGGGGGAUGGAAUUCCGCGUGUAGCAGUGAAAUGCGUAGAUAUGCGGAGGAACACCGAUGGCGAAGGCAAUCCCCUGGACCUGUACUGACGCUCAUGCACGAAA
rnacentral:rRNA from 1 species